rnacentral:tRNA from 1 species
GGAAAGGUGGCUGAGUGGGUUAAAGCACCUCCCCGCUAAGGAGGCAAUCGAGUAAUCGGUUCGCAGGUUCAAAUCCUGCUCUUUCCG